GUCGAACGAACUCUGGUAUUGAUUGGUGCUUGCAUCAUGAUUUACAUUUGAGUGAGUGGCGAACUGGUGAGUAACACGUGGGAAACCUGCCCAGAAGCGGGGGAUAACACCUGGAAACAGAUGCUAAUACCGCAUAACAACUUGGACCGCAUGGUCCGAGCUUGAAAGAUGGCUUCGGCUAUCACUUUUGGAUGGUCCCGCGGCGUAUUAGCUAGAUGGUGGGGUAACGGCUCACCAUGGCAAUGAUACGUAGCCGACCUGAGAGGGUAAUCGGCCACAUUGGGACUGAGACACGGCCCAAACUCCUACGGGAGGCAGCAGUAGGGAAUCUUCCACAAUGGACGAAAGUCUGAUGGAGCAACGCCGCGUGAGUGAAGAAGGGUUUCGGCUCGUAAAACUCUGUUGUUAAAGAAGAACAUAUCUGAGAGUAACUGUUCAGGUAUUGACGGUAUUUAACCAGAAAGCCACGGCUAACUACGUGCCAGCAGCCGCGGUAAUACGUAGGUGGCAAGCGUUGUCCGGAUUUAUUGGGCGUAAAGCGAGCGCAGGCGGUUUUUUAAGUCUGAUGUGAAAGCCUUCGGCUCAACCGAAGAAGUGCAUCGGAAACUGGGAAACUUGAGUGCAGAAGAGGACAGUGGAACUCCAUGUGUAGCGGUGAAAUGCGUAGAUAUAUGGAAGAACACCAGUGGCGAAGGCGGCUGUCUGGUCUGUAACUGACGCUGAGGCUCGAAAGUAUGGGUAGCAAACAGGAUUAGAUACCCUGGUAGUCCAUACCGUAAACGAUGAAUGCUAAGUGUUGGAGGGUUUCCGCCCUUCAGUGCUGCAGCUAACGCAUUAAGCAUUCCGCCUGGGGAGUACGGCCGCAAGGCUGAAACUCAAAGGAAUUGACGGGGGCCCGCACAAGCGGUGGAGCAUGUGGUUUAAUUCGAAGCUACGCGAAGAACCUUACCAGGUCUUGACAUACUAUGCAAAUCUAAGAGAUUAGACGUUCCCUUCGGGGACAUGGAUACAGGUGGUGCAUGGUUGUCGUCAGCUCGUGUCGUGAGAUGUUGGGUUAAGUCCCGCAACGAGCGCAACCCUUAUUAUCAGUUGCCAGCAUUAAGUUGGGCACUCUGGUGAGACUGCCGGUGACAAACCGGAGGAAGGUGGGGAUGACGUCAAAUCAUCAUGCCCCUUAUGACCUGGGCUACACACGUGCUACAAUGGAUGGUACAACGAGUUGCGAACUCGCGAGAGUAAGCUAAUCUCUUAAAGCCAUUCUCAGUUCGGAUUGUAGGCUGCAACUCGCCUACAUGAAGUCGGAAUCGCUAGUAAUCGCGGAUCAGCAUGCCGCGGUGAAUACGUUCCCGGGCCUUGUACACACCGCCCGUCACACCAUGAGAGUUUGUAACACCCAAAGUCGGUGGGGUAACCUU
rnacentral:rRNA from 2 species